AUUGAACGCUGGCGGCAUGCCUUACACAUGCAAGUCGAACGGUAACAGGUCUUCGGAUGCUGACGAGUGGCGAACGGGUGAGUAAUACAUCGGAACGUGCCUAGUAGUGGGGGAUAACUACUCGAAAGAGUGGCUAAUACCGCAUGAGAUCUACGGAUGAAAGCAGGGGAUCGCAAGACCUUGUGCUACUAGAGCGGCCGAUGGCAGAUUAGGUAGUUGGUGGGAUAAAAGCUUACCAAGCCGACGAUCUGUAGCUGGUCUGAGAGGACGAUCAGCCACACUGGGACUGAGACACGGCCCAGACUCCUACGGGGGGCAGCAGUGGGGAAUUUUGGACAAUGGGCGCAAGCCUGAUCCAGCAAUGCCGCGUGCAGGAUGAAGGCCUUCGGGUUGUAAACUGCUUUUGUACGGAACGAAAAGCCCUGGGUUAAUACCCUGGGGUCAUGACGGUACCGUAAGAAUGAGCACCGGCUAACUACGUGCCAGCAGCCGCCGUAACAC
rnacentral:rRNA from 1 species